rnacentral:rRNA from 1 species
GGUUUAAUUCGAUGAUACGCGAGGAACCUUACCCGGGCUUGAAUUGCAGAGGAAGGAUUUGGAGACAAUGACGCCCCUUCGGGGUCGUCUGUGAAGGUGCUGCAUGGUUGUCGUCAGCUCGUGCCGUGAGGUGUCGGCUUAAGUGCCAUAACGAGCGCAACCCCUCUCCUUAGUUGCCAUCAGUUGAAGCUGGGCACUCUGGGGACACUGCCACCGUAAGGUGUGA